rnacentral:lncRNA from 1 species
AGAAAACAGAAAACUUGAGAUAUUGCAAAGGUAUGAUUGAACUUCAGUGCGCCAUAUGUUAAGAAUUUAUUUGGUUUGUUAGAAUAUAAAAGUUGAAAAAAGAAUUAAUAUAGCGAUAUAUAAUCUAUAUUACAAUCUAUAUUACUGAGAUAAAGAUAAAGUUAACAAAGAAGUUAAUAGUCGCAUGAAGAUAAUUGUGUCAUGAAGUGGACUUUUACUUUACAAAAUGAGAACGAAAACGAGCAAGACGGUGGAGAGAUGAGGAUUUCCAAUUUAGUAAAAGAUUUUUUUUUUUUUUUUGCUUUAAAUGGUUAGGAUAAUGUUUGUUUCGAAUUAAAAUCGAAGAUAAAUAUAUACAGAUCAAGUAGCAAGUGAAUGGGACUUGUCAGUGUGAACCGUGGCCGGUGAAAGUAUUCAAGUCUUGAGAGCAACGCGGUCUUCAAACGCGUCUCUUUUUUUUGCUUUACAUUGAUUCUUUAAUUGUGUGAUUUAUUCAUUGCUUGAGAGCUAAGUUGUCUAAGUCAGUAAAUGCGAUGCCAUUAACACAAGAACCAACACGUACGUCCCCCUCAAUGGAAAGACCCAUAUACUAU